rnacentral:rRNA from 1 species
GUACACUCCUGCGGGAGGCAGCAGUGGGGAAUAUUGGACAAUGGGCGCAAGCCUGAUCCAGCCAUGCCGCGUGAGUGAUGAAGGCCCUAGGGUUGUAAAGCUCUUUCACCGGUGAAGAUAAUGACGGUAACCGGAGAAGAAGCCCCGGCUAACUUCGUGCCAGCAGCCGCGGUAAUACGAAGGGGGCUAGCGUUGUUCGGAUUUACUGGGCGUAAAGCGCACGUAGGCGGACUAUUAAGUCAGGGGUGAAAUCCCGGGGCUCAACCCCGGAACUGCCUUUGAUACUGGUAGUCUUGAGUUCGGGAGAGGUGAGUGGAAUUCCGAGUGUAGAGGUGAAAUUCGUAGAUAUUCGGAGGAACACCAGUGGCGAAGGCGGCUCACUGGCUCGAUACUGACGCUGAGGUGCGAAAGCGUGGGGAGCAAACAGGAUUAGAAACCCUAGUAGUCCC